CCUCGGCCACAGCCGACAAUUUCAACCUUAGAUUUUCUCUCUCACAUCUGACCUACCGAUCGGCUUCCGCUUCCAAGUACGGCGAAUGAAUAUUUUCAUUCACGGGCGAGCGUUUCUUCACAGGCGAUCGUUUCGUCUUAAUAGCCGAACGGCAUAAAAUGAAAGGGAACGCCACAGCCGAACGCUCUGACGAAUUCAUCUUCUCCCUCUCACCAAACGCUUCAAAUUUCGCUCCAUAGCUAUUAAGGGUCUUCUCGUUUCAUUCUUUGCUUUUGCAUGGAGAGUUUUGAAAGAGGCGUUAAAGUAGCGUCUUCUCCUUCUUCGUUCUUCCUGAGCUUCAUGUGAAUGAAGUUUUAAAAGUGUCCUUAAAGAAACUUCUUCGCUUCUUCCUUCUUCCUUCUUCGACAAAGAUUUUAUAUAAAUCCAAAUUUUGUUUGGUUUUUCCUCUCUACAUGGAACUACUCUUUUUGUUAAGUUGAUUUCAUCGCUUUUGGAUCCAAAUCCACUCCCUUGCUUUCAUCAAUCAACAUUCCAAAUCCUCACAACCCAUUUGAAGAAUCUGAAAGCUGGGACGGUCCCAUUGACUCCUUGUCUAUGAGAGUCGAGAGGCCUCCAUGGGGCCAGUCGAUCAUCUCCGCCUUCCAGAGCUGCAUGGGAGAUAAAUUCGUCCUUGACCGAGAAGAAGUAUUCCACGCCCAUCAACCGGCUUAGGAAGCUACUCAUAAACAAUAGAGCGCUCCAGGACACUAAUAUCAGACCAUUAUGAGGCACAACCCAACUUUUCAUGCAUGCUCUUUACUUGCACGUUGCUUCCUCUAGGAUGCAGAGGGUUCCGCGGGAUCAGCAAUGGAGGAGAUGAGGUCAGUGGCUCCAUUGUCGGGGCUCCAUCAAUUGAAGCUUAACGAAACCCGCGACUGCUCAACAGCUUCUAGGAUAUUUUCUCCAAUUAAUUCGGUCUUCUGAAAUUCUUCAACGUCUAACUGCCUCCGCUCGUCGUCAUCUCCUCCGGAUCCAUUCUCCAAUUAAUUCGGUCUCCUGUAAUUCUUCAACGUUUUUUCACUAUUUGGAUGCAUAAAGAUUUAUUAAACCGUCGAAACGUUUCCACCUUCGACCGUUCGGUGCCCGUAAGAUGACUGUCGCAUGUUCUCUUUCUCCCUUAUAUAAUUGGUAAAAUUAUUCUCACAUGUUCUCCCUUUAGCGCUUCUGUGAUUUGGGUUUCGUUUUUGGAUCUCUGCUAUUUCUACUUCAGCGAAUUUGUGAAUGUGGACACUAUUUCGGCUUCAAAUUUAGGCUCUCUACUCUUUCGUCUUCAAAGAUUAGAUGAACAGGAAGUAAAUAAUUCAUAAAGUUUUUCAUGAACUUUUGUCGGAGCAAGUAGGACUUCACCAUUGUAACAACAAAAGGUUGGCAGCUCGAAUUGAAAUAGCUUUGCAUUACAGUAAAAGCAUGAACGUCGGUGUUCGAGAAAAUGUAAUUCUGACAUAUUUGAUUCAUAAUCUAUAAUAGCAUCGUUCAUAUUUGAUACUUCAAUAUCUGUUUGUUCAAAGAUAAAAUAUAUUAAACAUUUAGAACUAUGAAAUAUAUAUGUUAAUUAUUUUUGUUCGAUAAAAAUGAACCUGUAGAAUUUGACAAUGAUGGCAAACAAGCAAUUUCUAAAUUAGAAAAUUGCUUUCUUUUUUUUUUUAGCAAUAUUGUUAGCUUGAAUUUUUUUUUUUUUCGUUUUUGCUCGGUAGACCGUUUAGCAUAUCGUUGCUUGUCAUAAUCUUUUUUUCUUUGAUCUUCUAUAGAAAAUAUAUGUAUAAAAAUUGUCAACAAUAUUAAUAGAUAUCAAUAAUUGCAAAAAAAACAACAACUAAAAAGUUAUAAAUAAAAUGAACAUGACUCAACAACGAUGUUCAUUGGAAGAGAAAAAAAUCAUAAUUUGCAAAUUUAGAAAAUUAAAGAAAAAAAUUCAAUCUAUUAUUGUAAGCUUAACAAUAAGAGGAGUUCGUGUAUAUAUGACUAAUUAUUCUCAGUAAAAGACUUAAUAUAAAGAAAAACAAACAAUACUCAGAUUUAAAGUCAAAUAUAAAUAAGAUUUUACAUAAAUUAUGCUACAAGUCAUUUUUAAUAUUUAAUAAAUGAAGAAAAAAAAUAUGAAUAGAAAACAAGUGCACAAGUGGGAUGAAAUAAUUUAGAGCAUAAAACAGAAUAGAUAAAUAAAAAUCAUGCAAUAAAAAAUAAUUAACAACAAAUUAGAGUAAAUAACAAUGACCAUCUUAAAGAAUUAGAAAAAAUAAGAAUUAAAUAAAAUAAACAUGAAUGGCUAACCUUCAAAUGGAAGUCUUAAUUCAAAUGUUAUCUAGAAGAAAUCAGAUUAUUGGAAUAAACAUUAAACUCAACAAAUGCACGUGCACAUACUCGUCUUUGCUUUACACUUCUUCUGCAACCGAUUCAUAACAGUCAACCUUCUGAUAUUAUUUUCAUUGUAAUCAUCUUCAACUCAAUAUUAUAAUUUAAGCUUCUGCAUCUACAUAUGUGCUUGUUUAAAAUUUUCAUACAUCAUUGUUUCUCUAAUCCUAAUGCUUUUUUUCUCUUAAUUUAAUAUGUUAUUAAAAAAAAAAACUUUUUGAUUGAAAAGUAUUGGAUUUGUUACUCAUAUAUCUCCAAUCAAGUGAAAUAAGUUUGCAGCAAAGGAUAAAUGCACUCUGGAUUGAACUAGCAUAAGAAAAUCACCAUAGCAACUAAAGAGUAAUUUAUCAAAUCUCAUUUUCGUAGAGGUUAAAGAAUACGACCCAAGUAUC